rnacentral:rRNA from 1 species
UACGUAGGGGGCAAGCGUUGUCCGGAAUCAUUGGGCGUAAAGAGCGCGUAGGCGGUCCGGUAAGUCCGCUCUGAAAGUCCGGGGCUCAACCCCGGGAGGCGGGCGGAUACUGUCGGGCUAGAGUCCGGAAGAGGCGAGUGGAAUUCCUGGUGUAGCGGUGAAAUGCGCAGAUAUCAGGAGGAACACCAAUGGCGAAGGCAGCUCGCUGGGACGGUACUGACGCUGAGGCGCGACAGCGUGGGGAGCAAACAGG